GGGAGAUGAGCCAGUUCUGUGUGGCCAGCAAUAGACACUUCCUGUUCCUGUCUGUGGACAUCCCAUCCUCCUGCCGUUCCCAUCACUGCCGUCCGUGAGGUCAUCAUUGAAGUACAGCAGGAUUGCAGGCGUGUAGAGUGUGCCGUCCAUGUUGAGAUGGUCAAAUUCUUCAUCCUCAUCCCGGAUCCCAUUCUCUUCCAGGAGAACAUUAAUAAGAGUCUGACUGCAACUGCUAUCCAAAACACAGCAUGUGAGCGCUUCCAAAACCACCGUCACUAACGUGCGUGAACCGCUGCCCCCGGCUUAUGAGGCAGUCUCUUGUACCCUGCGAUCCGGCCAUUCCUCCAGUUCCCAACCCCGCAGACCUAGGCGGUCUGCUCUCCUCGGCUGCCCCUAAAGAGGGGGAAAAUUCUGCUCCCACUGGCUACGGAGAGCCAAUGGCCUAAAGAUCUCCUCGAAGAUUUGCUGGGAUUCCCAGUUCCCUCUGACCCACCGCCGGGCACCGGUUCUCACCUCC